AACGAACGCUGGCGGCAGGCCUAACACAUGCAAGUCGAGCGCUGUAGCAAUACAGAGCGGCGCACGGGAGAGUAACGCGUGGGAACCUACCUUUUGGUUUGGGAUAACACCGGGAAACUGGGUGCUAAUACCGGAUAAGCCCAACUUCAGAAAGCAGAAGACAGAAAACAGGGAUCAGAAAUAAACUGAUGCCUGAAACGGGAGAUCGAAUAUCAGAAAGCAAAAAUCUGANACCUGAU
rnacentral:rRNA from 1 species